rnacentral:rRNA from 1 species
GACGAACGCUGGCGGCGUGCCUAAUACAUGCAAGUCGAACGAGUGGCGGACGGGUGAGUAACACGUGGGAACCUACCCAUCAGAGGGGGAUAACACUUGGAAACGGUGGCUAAUACCGCAUACGAGAGGAUGAACCCAUAUGGGAAUAGCGAGUAGGGGGGGUAAAGGCUCACCUAGGCGACGACCUCUAGCUGGUCUGGGGGGGUGAUCAGCCACACUGGUACUGAGACACGGCCCAGACUCCUACGUGAGGCAGCAGUGGGGAAUAUUGCGCAAUGGGCGCAAGCCUGAUGAAGCAAUGCCGCGUGUAUGAAGAAGGUCUUAGGGUUGUAAAGUACUUUCGUCGGGGAGGCGUUACCCGCAGAGGAAGCACCGGCUAACUCCGUGCCAGCAGCCGCGGUAAUAC